UACGUAGGGAGCAAGCGUUGUCCGGAAUCAUUGGGCGUAAAGCGCGCGUAGGUGGCCCCAUAAGUCCGCUGUGAAAGUCAAAGGCUCAACCUUUGAAAGCCGGUGGAUACUGUGGGACUAGAGUACGGAAGAGGCGAGUGGAAUUCCUGGUGUAGCGGUGGAAUGCGCAGAUAUCAGGAGGAACACCAAUAGCGAAGGCAGCUCGCUGGGACGUUACUGACACUGAGGCGCGAAAGCGUGGGGAGCGAACAGGG
rnacentral:rRNA from 1 species